rnacentral:misc_RNA from 1 species
GUAGUGUGCGGGAUACGUAAGCACCCUCCUCCUCCUCCCUCUCCCCCUCACCAAUCUACUUAACAAGCAAUAAAAGGCUCGCUCUGUGCACGCAUACAGGCACACUCCUUCGCACACGCGUAUAAAUCCCCUCCGCGGACGCACAUGCAUACGCAUACGAAAACAAAACCACGUCGUUCUCCGCCUUGAUAUUCGCACUUUUUCUUCUUUGAUCUUGCUGCAUGUUUGACCGUCUGCGGUGAGUGCCCUCCUCUUCCCGCUUUCUCUUUCUGUCCUUCGUUUUUUAUUUUCAUUUUGCGCAGAUAGCAAAAGAGGCAGCAUAUCUGCGCUUGUGUCUGUGCCUAUACCGCACCGCCAUACAGCGACGGACGAGAGGCGCCCACAGAACACACGGGGUCUCGCUGUCUUCGGCCCCCCUCUUCCCUCGACCUGUUUGUCGAGCGGUACUUGUGUCGUUCUCGUCGACGACACACACACACACACACACACACACGAAAACGCACGCACGAGUCACUGCUCUUUGACUUACUACCUCUCAACUACUGCUGCUGCUGACUCCUUUUCAACUUGGUCAUUCUGCUUCACUGUCUUUAUCUUUUUGUAUCAGUGUUUUAUCAGUGCUCUCUUCUAAUUUCGUUCGCAAUUCAACCCGCCGCUCCCCUCUGUCUCGCGCCCACCCAACCUCACCGACGGGAGCUUGGUCGACUCACUGUUGUUUUGCGCCACGGCUGCGGUGGGCGCUUCUUUCGUUCUUUGUUAUCAUUUUCUUGUAGUUUUUUUUUCGUGCGCGUGCGGUUCGUGGGCUUUCGUGAUCUGAGCUGCCUCCCUCUCUCUCAUUUUUUCUUUGGUUGUCUCUGUUUUCUGCGCUGCGGCUUCCCCAUCCACCCCCUUCUGCUGCCUUUCCGGCUCCUCAGGAGCACGUCCAGCCAGAGUUUCGUCUCUGUCCCACCGCCGCUCUUCGUCAUCUUGCCUACCAUUCGCUGAUCAUCUCUGUGCUUACUCUUCCUUUUUUGACGGUUUCUCUCCCGUCUGGCCAGAAACGCACUAAAAGAGACGCAGACGCGCGCCCACAGCUUUCUACUCUCCCUCCAGCCACAUCCAGAUUACAUACGCGCGCAUCGCUAUUCGCUUCCGGUUGCCUUCUCCACUUUCUCGAGCGACGCCAUUGACAUAGAUAGCGAGGUAGCCGCGGCCUCCGCUUGUUUGUGUGUUCGUUCGCGUCCGUGCAUGCAGCGCUAUCUUUCUCUCGUUGCUUACCUGUUCUACUUCUUUUUCUCAGGCGUUUUUUUUUCUGUUCGUUCGUUCUUGUGUCUUGGUGCCAGCGGCCUGCGAAGUAGUGAAGCAUCCGUAACGGUACGAGCACCUACCACGUAGGGGGAGGGGCUCAGCGGAAGCAGGAGGAGAGCACACACGCGAAAAGAAUAACGACGGCGUGAACACAGGCGCACGUUUCUGUUGUACUCAUUUUUUUUUCAUUUUUUUGUGUGUUUGUGUCUGUGUGAUCUCCCUCUUGUCUGCUCCCGCAUAUCCACCGUCACGCAGGCGACUUAGAACUAAAAGAGGGGGCUGCAAGAGCUGCGAGAACAAAGGGAAAGUCGAAAAAAAAAGUAGAACUGGCAGCUCAGCUCAAGGCAGUGUAGAGGUCAUCGUGACGUGGUGGGUGUGCUGUUGGAGUGGCUAGUGCAGAAAGGCGAGCAUCAACGCAUCAGCACCCCCGGCCCACACAUACGUUCAUCACGUCGUCUCUUUUUUUUCUCAGUGCCGCUGCGUAUUUUCCUCCUUUUACUCUCGCUCUGUGGCAAAAAGAAGACACCAGCACGCACACGCACACAGACAGCGCUCCGCUCCCACAUUUUAUUUUUCUUUCCACUUUACCUUGUUUACUUUUUUUUAGUGCUGUAGACUACGGGGCUCGUCUCUCCCUCUCUCUUCUUUGUUGUUUCCUCCGUCUUUUUGUUUAUCUUACUCUUUUGAUAUACAGCUAACUGAACUAAGUAAAAGACGGGACAGCGUGCGAAGAGGGCUCAAUCGGAAGUGACAAAUAGAGGCUACGGACGGUGCGAGCGUGAGGCCGUGCGAUCAACAUAGACAGAGAGCAAGAGCGAUUAAACAAAAUAAGAAAAAAAAACACAGAGGACCCGCACACGAGCUCAGCACAGCGCAUUGGAAUUGUCGCCGCCUCUGUGUCUCGCACUCUCUAUUUCGUCGCCUCCGUCUAAGGUGCACCCGUUCUCUCUGUCUCCUCUCUCCCGUCCCUCUCUCUCCGUGUUUGUGUGCAUCUGCGGUCGGUUGGAUUUGCGCGACUUUGGUUUCUUUGUUUUUUUUUCUUCCGCUUGUGUUGCGCGGCCUUUUUUCUCUUACUCGCCCCUCCUCUUCCGCUCAAGCUUUCGCUGUGAUCGCUUCGUUGCCGGAGUGCUCCUCUCAUUCGUCGGCGUUUUCUUUUUGCUUCACAGCUCGCACACACAUAUAUAUAUAUAUAUACUUGAUUUUGUUUUUCUCACCGUCUCCUUGUUUCGCCAUCCAAGCGGACGAAGUGGCAACGAAAAGGAGGAGAGGGCUGAACGCAAAGAGAUCGCUAAUACACACACAGGUGUGCGCUGCCUUCGUACACGCGCACACCUGAAAAUAGAAAGGCACCUUCAUUUGUAGGUGAGCCUAUUUUCAAGUCAGCUGAUUGAGUACGCAAGUACCCGAUAAAGCCACUUUUUUUUUGCUGUCUCGUUUCGCUUUCUUGCGUGACCUCCUCUUCCUCCUUGCUUUACACUUUCUCGUACGUGCUUGCGCGUGUGUCUCUCUCGAGCUCUGUUUGCCCAUUUAAAAAGGACAUAGGUGUGUGUGUGUGUGUUUGUGUGUGUAUGCUUGUAGCGCUACAGUCUGUUUCUGUGCGUGUAUUGAGAGACACACCAUAGCGUGUUGAUCUUGGGUCAGGUGUGUCUUCCGGGCUCAUCUCCCCACCUGCAGGGUAGCGUCUUGGCUCUGCAAACAUCAGGUGUGUUCAUUUUCUUAUUUCAGUAUAUUUUGCUCGUUUCGCUGGAUUGUAUAAGUGUGGCAUUCCGUUCUCUCUUUUUUCACCCUUUUUUUUCUUUGUGCGUGUGUGUGAAAAGUGUCGGUUCUGCAUUGUCUCCCUUUCCUCCCCCCCUCCCCUCUCCUCCCUCCACCGUUCUUCCUCCCCUUUCUUUCCUUUUGCUUGUCUCCUGAGUGUAGGCCGCCCUCCCCCUUUUUGUCUUUGUUCGUUUCGUUGGUGAGCAGGUCGUUUUUUAUAUUUCGUUUCCAUUUGUGGUUGUGUUGCCUCGAGCUUGUGCGCUUUUCUAUCAUUUGACUGCGCCUUCCUGUUACACCUAACUUCCUUGUGGUGGGGGGGCUGCGGUGUGUGUGUGUGUGUGUGUUGCGUACGGCCGCGAUGCUUUCCUCUUCUGAUCACAGAGAGGACAAGUCCCUGAGCAGCCAUGGAGCGGGCUCGUCGAGCAGGGUAGACGCGGCGGCCGCUGCGUCGAGUCCACCCACGAGCCCGUGCGCUUCUUCCUUUCCUGACGAGGGCGCAGUGGUGCCGCGAAGCUGCGAUCGCAACUCCUCCUCGUCGACGCGCCCGACGUCCCCGUGGCUGGAUCGCCGUAGUUCCACCUCCACAAGUCUAGACGCCGACGACGAGGCCGACGAGCAAUCUCCAGCGAAUCCGUCAGAGGCUGCGCCGACACCGUCGCCCUUGCCAGCGCUCACGUUGGACUACGGCCACCGUCAGCGGACAAGCGACGGCUUCCAGAACGCAUCCCAGCACGCCGCAAACGACACUGGUGAAGUUGCUGAUACGAAUCCCACAACAAACACAAAUCCAGAUAUGCAUGAACAGCUGCAGUCGGCCAUGCCUGCCGACGCCGCUGCAUCGAGGGCGAAGGGGAGUGGUGCACUCGUGCAGGCUCUUGUGCGGCGGAGGUCCAUGAAACCAGGUCCCUCGCCAAACUCGUCUCGCCUCGAGCUGGGAAGCAGCGAAACUGCACCCCACUUCUCGUCAAAGGCUUCCCUUUCCGAAGCUCUACUCCUCUCUGCGAAAGCUCGCGCUCCAUCGGCGCAGCCCACGAGUUCCACUACGCGCAGUCCCCCUGGCGAAGUGGCAGCAGCCACACGCGCUCCUGCUGCAAGUGCGGUGUCUACCGACUCAGUCGUACCCGCUCAGGCACAUAGGUCUCACGACGACAGCGACGACGCCACCAAUGGAAGUGGGACCUCAAGCCCGCCGGCCCUAUCCCCAUCACUUGCGACAGCGACGGCCGAGUCGCUGGGAGGCCUGCCAGUCCUGCAUACCUCUGGUACACCACCGUCUCCGCUGGCGAGGCGACUGCGACUGCCCUCGCGGACGGCGGUGGAGCUGCAGCACUUCGGCUGCUGCGUCUUCUUCUUCCCGGCCCCGUUUGUGUCGUGGCUGUUUCCACUGGUGGGUCACGUGGCCAUCAGCAACGCUGAAGGGUCGCGGCUGUACACGUUCGAGUCGUCCUACUACGUCCGGGAGGAAAAGCUCAUAUCGGUGCUGGAUCGCGUGCUGCGUGAAGAAGGGCAGGAGCAGCACACCGCCUCGCUGCUGCAAGAGGCCCCGCACUUGGGGAGCCGAGUGGACCUGUCCGCGCUCCCCAUGACGACCUCUCUGCACUCCUCUACGCGGUCACAACUGCCGGGGAUGCCAAUGGCAAGCGAUGCCUCGGCUUCAGACACAGCCGUGACGUCGCCAUCCGAUGCGAGUGCAGGGUCGCGGCUACGGUGCAGGACGACAAGUCCGGUGUUCCCUCCACACUGUAGUGCACGCCCACCGCGGCGCACGGGGCGUCCAAGGUCAGCGGCUAGCGCACCAGCUUCCGGCCACGCGCACACGCAGUGCGUCCGCAUUUGGGAUCUUAAGCCGCUGCUGAUGGAGAGUCGCGGACGUCGGACCCGUCGCACGCCGUGCGGGUUAACCACUCAGGGCGGUAAGCAAGCCGCUGCAGUGUUGUGGGAGCGCUUGCAGGAGCUGCUGCAACCGACAGAGGUCUCCACUGCAUCGAUGCAGAGAGCAUCGACUGCAGGCGGUGCCGCAAGUAAAGCAUCGUUGCCCACUCCCCCGACGUCGAGCGUGAAGCGUCGGUACGCGUCCGAGUACCACAGCGACGAUGCGGACGGCAUCCGGUCAGCUCCCGGCAUGAGCAGCAGUGGCGAAGAAGAUGGGGAGGAGUACGAACUGCUGGACGCAGAGACAGCUCGUUUCUACAACAGGAACCUUAAUGCAACCAUCCGCCUCUUCCGUGGCAGCGCUGACGGCAGCAUCAACUCGCCCGAUGUCGUGCUGCAGCACCACAGCUCCUUCUCUUUUGUGGGCUUCGUCCUGGAGGCGUGUGGUGUGGGUAGCCAGGGAAAGCCGAGUAGCUCUGUCUCCGCGCCGAAAUCACCCGCGAAGGAGGCAGCUAACAGUGGAAGUGCAGCUGCAUCCACAAGUCCCCCCGCUGCCACGAACAGGCCAACGACCGCUCCCGCAUCCGAUGACGCUGUGCCCGGCGAGAGCCUCAACUCUGAAGGGGAGAUUCACUGGGGUGUGAUGAAGUUGCUCUUUCACGUGUCCGUCUUUGGCAAGUGGCAUCGUGGUGAGCGACGCCUGUGGCGCGUGGUGCACGGCGGCAGCAUCACAAGUGCUUCCAUUCUCUGGGCGGCGAUCAUUGCCUUGGCGUACCACUACUUCACGAUCCUUUUCUUUUGAAAGAGGACCCGCGUUGCGUGAAUGGCUGGCUGUGGCAGCGGGGUGGCGGAACGGGAAAGAGGCGCAACCCAAGAACAGAUGGAGAGCGGGGGGUGGCGCCAGGCACGACGGAUCUCAAGUUCGACGAAUCGGAAGCCAAGGUAGUGUGAGGGGGGCGGAUAAGGAGGCACCACGCCUUUUUGUUUUCUGGUGUGCUGCGUCUAAAUGCUCCAAUACAGCGAUGUCCGCAUGGACUUACUCGGCAGGCUCUGCAAGAACAAACUCCCCACUCUUUUUGUCGAAAAUCUUCGCAGCCUCUGGAGAGCGGCUCAUCUCUCCACUGUCGCUGCUGUUUCUGCAGGUGGGAGGCUGCCAUUCCUCCACAAUUGUGUGGCUCGCUUUCUUCUUCCCCUCAUACCCCUUUCCACCGGAUGCUCGCUUGAUCACCAUGGGCUUUCUGUACUUUGCUGUUUACCCUUUUCCCCGCGUUUUGUCAAGCAUGCGUAUGUAUAUAUAUGUGUGUGUGUGUAUGUUUUUGCGGGCUUGCGUUGUGUGCCUGUCUCCUUACCUGUAUUUGGUUUGCUUCUUUACCCUUUCCUUCUUUUUGUGUUUCAUUCCCUGCUGCUUGCUGUUGCUGAUGCUGCCUCUGAUGACGAUGGUGGUGGUAGGCUGCACCAGUCCAUGGAUGCAUAUAUGCGUGCUGGUGCCUCUCUAUGCGGGUGCUCUUUCUUUCUCCUGUGUUAUCCGCUCUGUUUCCCACCGAUUAUGUCACUCUUCGCCUUUGCUCUUCUCUGGUGAUAUUAUGUCCGUGUGCAGCAGCGGCAGCAGCGGAGCCGGCAAGGCGCAAACCUCCGUCGGGGCUUUGAGGACACACGCUUUCAUCGUGAACGGCGGCAAAACGAGGACGGUACAUGUAUUUUCUCUGUCGCUUCCUUGCUUACGCUAGCGGGGCCUCGCUUUCUACGUUUCCUUCGCUUCCCUCCGUCGUUAUCGAGAAGGCAAGCUAUAGUG